CUGAGUAAAGCUAUUUUAGCAGGAGAGGAGAGCUCUCUCUCUCUUGACAGCAGCUCUCUGAGGAGAGGAGGGUCUUCAAUCUGCAUCAGAGGACAGACUUCAGUGAGAGAGAGGAGCGAAGAAGCCUGUGAUACUCACAUGACAGAGUGACUGAGACCACUAGAUGAGAGGGGUGAAGCUGUAGAAGAAUAACUGAAGAGAGAGAGAGAAGAUGCCUCCUCCCCCACCACCCCCUGCCCCUCCCCCACCCCCAACCUUCGCUGUGGCAAAUACACAGAAGCCAUCACUCAGCAAGAAUGAAGCACAAGGAAGAAACGCCUUACUGUCUGAUAUCGGAAAAGGAGCUCGCCUGAAGAAGGCCGUGACCAAUGACAGGAGUCAACCCAUCAUUGACAAACCCAAAGGUGGAGGUGGUGGAGGAGGUGGAGGAGGGGGAGGAGGAGGAGGAGGUGGCGGAGGAGGAGGACCAGUACUAGGAGGUCUCUUUGCAGGAGGCAUGCCCAAGCUUC